CAGCAGCCGCGGUAAUACAGAGGGUGCGAGCGUUAAUCGGAUUUACUGGGCGUAAAGCGUGCGUAGGCGGCUUUUUAAGUCGGAUGUGAAAUCCCUGAGCUUAACUUAGGAAUUGCAUUCGAUACUGGGAAGCUAGAGUAUGGGAGAGGAUGGUAGAAUUCCAGGUGUAGCGGUGAAAUGCGUAGAGAUCUGGAGGAAUACCGAUGGCGAAGGCAGCCAUCUGGCCUAAUACUGACGCUGAGGUACGAAAGCAUGGGGAGCAAACAGGAUUAGAUACCCGAGUAGUCCCUGUCUUUUAUAA
rnacentral:rRNA from 1 species